rnacentral:lncRNA from 1 species
GGGAGAAGGCUCCCCACGGGCAGGGACCGCUGAAGGCCAGGGCCCCCAAGUCGCAGUCCGCCGAAAGGUGCUCUCCCUGGGAGGAAAGGGGCUGGGCCAGCCCUUAUUUCACAGGUCACAGCCUUCGGCAGCAAGUUCCCAGCCCUGCAGGCAGCUCAGGAGGUCAGCAAAUGUUUGAUGAAAGUAGACGGGAAGGAGUGUGAGAGGCCAGAGAUAAAUGAAGGAAAGUUAAAUGCAUCAGCAGCCCAAAGCUUAAAGCUGGCUCUUUGCAAUCCUGACGGCAUCAGAGGCCUGUGGGACUGACAGAGGAGUGGCCGGGAGAGGUCUCUGAGGGUCUCCGUGGCCCAGAGGGGCACAGCGGGACCCAGCAGGGUGUGCGGACCAGUGUCAGAGCUGACCGGACCCAGCUGCCACCAAAGCAGGGCGGCUUAGAAAUGUCAGUGAUGAGACAAAGCCAGAGGUGAAAACGCCCGUGAGCGGGGUACACAGGGUAAAGCGCUCACAAGCACCGCUAGGCGGCUGGCAGGAGGGCGCCGGGCCGCUGUCCACUCCGCCCCGGCCCGCCUCACCUCUCGCUCCCGCCCACAGGGCAGUUCCCCCCUGGACCUCCUCCGCCUGGGAGCUGAGAUGAAGGGAGAGAAAGGGGACCGUGGGGACGCCGGACAGAAGGGCCAGAUGGGCACGCCCGGGGCCAGUGGCGGCAUCUUCCGGCUCCAGUGUCCCCGGCCCCCCGGGUACCCCGGCCCCCCGGCAUCCCGGGUCCCAAGGGAGACAGCAUCCAGGGCCCGCCUGGCCCGCCUGGCCCUCAGGGACCUCCGGGCAUUGGCUAUGAGGGGCGCCAGGGCCCCCCCGGCCCCCCCGGGCCCCCGGGGCCCCCCGCAUUUCCCGGCCCGCACAGGCAGACUGUCAGCGUUCCCGGCCCCCCUGGCCCCCCAGGGCCCCCAGGGCCCCCAGGGACCAUGGGCACCUCCUCAGGGGUGAGGGCCUGGGCCUCCUACGAGGCCAUGCUGGAGAAGGUGCACGAGGUGCCGGAGGGGCUGGCUCCUCUUCGUGGCCGAGGAUGAGGCGCUCUACGUCCGUGUCCGAAAUGGGGUCCGCAAGGUUCUGGUGAGUUCUGGGGUCACGGCCCCCUCUCCACCCUGCAAGGAGGAGCUGCUGCCUGCCAGGCUCGGCACGCUUCCUGGGUUCUUAAAGAGUUAGCAACUGUGUUUCCAGCAGUUUCAGGCUCAUGAGUGUCUUGGGGGUUUUUUUGUUUUUUUGGUACCAGGGAUCAAACUUGGGACCUUGAACUUUCAAGGCAGGCAGCGGAACCACUGAGCUAAUUUGCGUGUGCUACACGCACGCCCUCACCUGGACUUGCAGGUGCCUCAGAAGGGCAGAGUGCAGAUAGAGGCCUGCACACCCCUGUCCAGGCAAGGCGAGGCCCACCCAGGAGUCUGUGAGGACAGGACUGGCUCUUGGGGCCCCAGGGUGGGGCUGGGUUUAGUUUCACAAUGGUGCAUUGUGAAUACCACCCGAGAACACCAAGGCCCCGGAAUGCCCCAGGUCCUGGGCCUGCAGGCCUGGCUCCUCUACGACCCUGAGGUUGCUCAUCCAGCCUCGGGCCUGUUCCUGCCUUCUCCAAUCCAGGGCCCCUGUCCUAAUCGGCCAGGACAGACUUCUCCUUGGUGUGGCCCACGUGAGGCAUGGGACAGCCAGCCCUGCACCUCGAACAACCCAUUUUGCCUGUGGGGCCUCUGUCCACACUGAGGGGUAGAGUUGAUUGGACUCUGCAGCGCCCUCUGGGCAGAAAGGGAGCCCGAAACUGGGCCCUGGGCCCAGGGAGGCGGCGGGCUCAGCCCUGCACCCACCAUGCAC